rnacentral:rRNA from 1 species
AUGGCCGUGAUCGCGGAAGAGGUCACCUGGACAGGCACGCUUGAGUGCGUUUGCAUUGAACGAAUCUCACGUAGAAUCACCAAGGCUGGUAUGGGAGGACCCCUUGUUAAUUUGGACGGGGAAGUUGUCGGCAUGGACUUCUACGACACGAGGAUCGGAACCCCUAUCGUGAUGUGGGAUCAUGUUCAAUGCAUUCUGGAACAUUUUUGUGAAAAGAGUAAGGCUGGAGAAGUUGGGAGUGACAGUGGUGAGGCUUUCUGGAAAUUGGAUGGGGAUCCCAGCGACAGGCUAAACAGGUGGCCCGUGCCCGCGUCGCGACGACGUGGACGCGGACAAGAAAUCCGAGGAGGAAGAGCUGAACCUCGACCCCCCGCCCCCCAGUGA